rnacentral:misc_RNA from 1 species
AACUUUCGACUAUGGAUCACUUGGUUCUGGCAUCGAUGAAGAACGCAGCGAAAUGCGAUAAGUAAUGUGAAUUGCAGAAUUCAGUGAAUCAUCGAAUCUUUGAACGCACAUUGCGCUCCCUGGUAUUCCGGGGAGCAUGCCUGUUCGAGCGUCAUUACAACCCUCAAGCUCUGCUUGGUAUUGGGCCUUCGCCAUCACUGGCGGGCCUUAAAAUCAGUGGCGGUGCCGUCUGGCUCCAAGCGUAGUAAUUUUUCUCGCUUUGGAAUCCUUCGGUUGCUUGCCAACUAACCCCCAAUUUUUUAAGGUUGACCUCGGAUCAGGUAGGGAUACCCGCUGAAUUUAAGCAUAUCAAUAAGCGGAGGCU